GAGCCAAUACUUUUUUCGGUAUAGGUCUUUUUGCCAGCUUUUACUUGAUUUAUUUAGUUUGAUUUAAUAUUUCCUAAUGAACAGACGUACUCCGGAACAACGUUUGCAAAUCGUGCAAAAUUAUACCAAAAUAAUGGCAUCGCGCACGCUGUAUCUUGGUAAGCGGGCUUUCAGAGUCAAGUUCGUACAAGAAUUGAAGCCGCAUGACCAUCAAACGAAAAGCACAUUUCGGAAUUCGUUUUUAAUGAAAUUAUUUACAAUCAAAAGAUUUCGGAAGUAUAAGUAGAUGACCAAUGUUUACCAAUCUCAGGCAUAAAGGAACCAUAACCAAAAGACGAAGAUCAAAGGUGAUAUAAAUCAAAUAUAAAAGACCGGAAUUCAGAAAUUUCAAACUAUAGAUCAAAUGUAAAAAGAUAUAUUAAAAGCUCAAAAACCAAGUAUCCACAGUUAGAGAUUAGCGAUGAGAGAUCUCUGUGAGGAGGCCAAAAAAUAUACUUGAAUUGUACAAUAUAAUUGACAAAAGGCUGUACGUCAAAGAGUGAAGGCCAAGGGUUUAGGAUAAAGAUCGAAGAGCAGACUUUAUAUGUUCAAGCCCAAAUGUCAUGUCACUAUUUAGAAGAACGAAGAAAUUUUAUAAAAAAUCUAA